rnacentral:rRNA from 1 species
GAUGAACGCUGGCGGCGUGCCUAAUACAUGCAAGUCGAGCGAACGGACGAGAAGCUUGCUUCUCUGAUGUUAGCGGCGGACGGGUGAGUAACACGUGGAUAACCUACCUAUAAGACUGGGAUAACUUCGGGAAACCGGAGCUAAUACCGGAUGAUAUUUUGAACCGCAUGGUUCAAAAGUGAAAGACGGUCUUGCUGUCACUUCUAGAUGGAUCCGCGCUGCAUUAGCUAGUUGGUAAGGUAACGGCUUACCAAGGCAACGAUGCAUAGCCGACCUGAGAGGGUGGUCGGCCACACUGGAACUGAGACACGGUCAAGACUCCUACGGGAGGCAGCAGUAGGGAAUCUUCCGCAAUGGGCGAAAGCCUGACGGAGCAACGCCGCGUGAGUGAUGAAGGUGUUCGGAUCGUAAAACUCUGUUAUUAGGGAAGAACAUAUGUGUAAGUAAAUGUGCACAUCUUGACGGUACCGAAUCAGAAAGCCACGGCUAACUACGUG